rnacentral:rRNA from 1 species
GGAGGUAGUGACAAUAAAUCACAAUGCGGGACUAUUUAGUUUUGCAAUUGAAUUGAGAACAAUGUACAAGAGUUAUCGAUAAACAAUUGGAGGGCAAGUCUGGUGCCAGCAGCCGCGGUAAUUCCAGCUCCAAUAGCGUAUAUUAACGUUGUUGCAGUUAAAAAGCUCGUAGUUGAAGUGUGGGAUAAUGUAUAUUUGAUCUUUUUAGUGAAGAUAUGUGUUGUCCCCCCUCCAAUUUCGGUCUGUGGGUAUUGAUUUACUUGCAGUUCGUGUUGGUCAUUUACUGUGAGAAAAUUAGAGUGUUCAAAGCAGGCAUUUGCUUGAAUAUAUUAGCAUGGAAUAAUCUUAAAAGGCUUGUAUGGUCGAUUUAAUUGGUUUGUUCAUAUAAGCAAGAUUAAUAGGGACAGUUGGGGGUAUUCAUAUUCAAUAGUUAGAGGUGAAAUUCUCGGAUUUAUGGAAGAUGAACAAGUGCGAAAGCAA